UUUAAACACAGUGCAGAGGGGAUAGGAGGGGACAAGCCUGACUGGAGAGGACUACAGAGGUUUAAACACAGUACAGAGGGGAUAGGAGGGGACAAGCCUGACUGGAGAGGACUACAGAGGUUUAAACACAGUACAGAGGGGAUAGGAGGGGACAAGCCUGACUGGAGAGGACUACAGAGGUUUAAACACAGUACAGAGGGGAUAGGAGGGGACAAGCCUGACUGGAGAGGACUACAGAGGUUUAAACACAGUACAGAGGGGAUAGGAGGGGACAAGCCUGACUGGAGAGGACUACAGAGGUUUAAACACAGUACAGAGGGGAUAGGAGGGGACAAGCCUGACUGGAGAGGACUACAGAGGUUUAAACACAGUGCAGAGGGGAUAGGAGGGGACAAGCCUGGCUGGAGAGGACUACAGAGGUGUAAACACAGUGCAGAGGGGAUAGGAGGGGACAAGCCUGGCUGGAGAGGACUACAGAGGUUUAAACACAUCCCAAAUAAUAACAGGAGCUGGACAAAGAUCCAAUGCAAUGGUGGAUGGAGACAGUCUGGCGGUGUGUCUGAUGGAGACUGUCUGGCGGUGUGUCUGAUGGAGACUGUCUGGCGGU